CACCGUCGACGGUGCGUGGAUGAGCCGUGGCUCGACGUUGUCGCCGGCGUCCUGAUCCGUGGAUCAGGUACAGUGGUUCCCGCUAGCGCCGGCAGUGCACAUAGUUAAUGCAGUGGUUGGGCGACUCGGUGGAUAAGGAAGUGAAGUUGGAUUUGUGUCUUAUCCCGGUGGGGGGAGAGGUGGAGACAUUGACUCCGGCGACGGCGAGUGGGCGGUCCGGCGAUCUCGCAGGGGUUCCGCCGACCAUGGAAUUCUUACUGCAGCCAAUAAACAGAACUCUGCUUGAGGAGGUUAAUGAAAAUAACGGGACAAUGGAGCCCGUGCGGUUCCCAGUGGCCGCGCCGGCGGACAUACCUGCUCCAGCCCCGGCCGGUUCAAGUGUGGACGGCCAGAUCUAUCGGCCGGAAGCGGCAGGCAGGGACAAGCCUCAGGGGUCCGAGCACUCGAUAGAGCAGUUGGACCCGAAGACACCAGGAUGGACGCAAAGGGGAAGCCAAUCGUUGAGAAUACUCGUUCGUGCCGGUGUGAAUGCCCAGCCCUCAUCAGACUACUGAGGACAAAGGACAUUGGCGGGAUGAGAGGGAUGACUCAGUACAAAUGGGGAGGGGAUGCUGGCUCGUCGAGCAGCUCAACCCUUUUCAGUGUAGAGGUGCCUCAUGGGAGCCUCAGUAGUCUCCCACCCUGCAUCGUCAUUGACAAAUUCUGAAGAAUGCACAAGGGUUUGCAGCGAUCCGAUCCAGGCAGAGGAGUCUGAAGCAUCAGUUAACCAGGGAGAUGAGCCCGUGAUACAUGAGAACUCAGGCAUCUCCACGGUGUCUCUGCAGGUGUCCAUGGUGAGUGGGGAUGCUGAACUGCGAAAGGAACAACAGCCCGCCGAGCAGAUGAUGGAGCAAGGGAUUUAUGGGUGUCCAGAUGCAGAGGAAGGAUUCGGAGAGCAUGCAUGAUCCUGCUGCUAAUCAAGUGGAGCUGGAGCAGGAGGAAUCCCUGAAGCUGAUGUUAACAGCGGAUGGCGAUGUGGAGGAAAGCAAUCGCCACAGCGCCAAACGUGCUAGAAAGAAUUUCUGAUUAGAAGUGUAGUUCGUUGUUAGUACAGUCAGAUUAGGCAAAGAUGCCUUUGCCUUGUUGCUGACAUGUGUACUCCCUCAGUAAUUAGUUUGAGUGUGUUGGGUAGAUCUCUAGGUUUGUAAGUGGUUCAUCGAUGGAGUAGUGAACUCUGUACUGUAAUGCAGAGGAGUGCCUGCUGUUGUCAACAAGUAUAAAUCAACGUGUCUA